UACGGAGGGUGCAAGCGUUAUCCGGAUUCACUGGGUUUAAAGGGUGCGUAGGUGGGCAGUUAAGUCAGUGGUGAAAUCUCCGGGCUCAACCCGGAAACUGCCAUUGAUACUAUCUGUCUUGAAUAUCGUGGAGGUAAGCGGAAUAUGUCAUGUAGCGGUGAAAUGCUUAGAUAUGACAUAGAACACCAAUUGCGAAGGCAGCCUACUACAGGGACAUUGACACUGAGGCACGAAAGCGUGGGGAUCAAACAGG
rnacentral:rRNA from 1 species